rnacentral:rRNA from 1 species
AGUUCCUACGGGACGCAGCAGUGGGGAAUAUUGCACAAUGGGCGCAAGCCUGAUGCAGCGACGCCGCGUGCGGGAUGGAGGCCUUCGGGUCGUAAACCGCUUUUGUUCAAGGGCAAGGCACGGUCUUUGGCCGUGUUGAGUGGAUUGUUCGAAUAAGCACCGGCUAACUACGUGCCAGCAGCCGCGAUCAUACGUAGGGCGCAAGCGGUAUCCGGAUUUAUUGGGCGUAAAGGGCACGUAG